UGAAGUGCCAAAGGUUUGCAAUUUAAGUUGACCUCCUCCCAGAUGGCAUUUCCUCAAAUGGGGGAGCUGAUAGAUGAAUAAAAAAUGGGACAGGACAUGAUGGAAGAGUUUGAGCUCUGAGCUGGGUUUUUAUGAGUGUGUGGUGGUGGUCUAGUUUAGCUAUACUUGACAGGAAUGACUCUUGACAUCCCAGUAGUCCUGUGCAGAUGUUUUGGCCGGGUCUCAUUAUGAUUUUUGGCACACUGGUUAAGAUUAGGGCUAGGGCUAAGUUUAUGGUAAGCCAGCAGGAAUUGAAUGUAAGCCAAUGCAAUGUUCUCUAAAGUAUGGCAAGACCAAUGAGUGUGUGCGUUUUUGUGUGUGUACUUGCUUGUGUGUUUCAGAGGGCGGGGUUUAGGCUGGACUGUAGAGGGGUGAAGUGCCUCCGAUCCUUGGGAGUGGAACUCAUUUCCUUUUGUUGCCCUCCAAUUUUUGACUGGCUUGCCCCAGCACAUGAGCAUGAUGGGGCUGUUUCUAUUAUCCAGCUUCCCAGGCCCACCCCCCCCCAUCCUACCCUGUUCUGCCUGUUCCCAAAGCGAUUGGCAUUCCUGGGGGCCACCAGUGAAGCAGCUUUAGAGGGAAGGCCCGCUGGCUCCUGGGUGGCCUCUUGUGCAUGGGCUCCAAGGGGAGGAGACAAUGUCUUAUUAAUUGACUGGGCGUCUUGGGCAGAGUUCAGGAAUUUGCAGAAGGGGGAGACGGAAAAAGUGGAGAUGAGGGAUGAGCUGAGAGGGAUGGAGGGGCGGGAUGACCCAGGAAGAUUCACCGUCCACCAAUGGAGAUUCAUUGACCUCCGUCUCAGAUUUAUUUCCAUUUGAUUUACAAUGCUGUUGAAGGUUAAAAAACGACAAACAUCAUGGUGGGCAGGCAGCCGUCCCUCCACAGCAGACUCCUGGUUUUGUGCAAGUUUGAUGGAGAGGGACAGGACAGGGUGAGGUUGGGGGGUGGGACGGGUGUACCAUCUCCCCAUGUGGUCCCCCACCCCCAGGUGUCCUUACCCUAAUCCUGUUACAUGUGUCCCCCAUUAGCACUAAUGGAGCGGCCAUUGUCCCCCUGUUGUGUGCUGUUGUGCCCUCGGCCCAGUCACCUUGAGUCAGUAAACUCAGCCCUGUCAUGUUUGGACUGCUUCCCACACACAGCGGUCUCCAUGACUACGAUGGACACCCCUCCACACACACACACACACACACACACACACACACACACUGACAUGUCACUCAGGCUGCUGGGAUGCCAGAGAAAGUGGGGGAUGCUCACAAGACUCUCAUAAUAUCAGAAUUCAUAAAACUUACAUCAGUGUGUCACCUGUGUCAAACUGGUGGUAGUUUUUAAAUAUUUUCUUUCAAGAAAACUGAACAAAUGAAUACUAUUGUAAAUAAAGUUGGUUCUGCUUUUGCUGUUGUUGCUGCUCUCUUGCAAAGAAAAGCCAAAUCAGCGCACAUCUUUACAAAGUAUCAUUAAACCCAAUUGUUUUCUCUGGCUUUCUCUUGGUUUUACACCUUUUAUUUUGUGGGUUUUACACUUGAUUCUGCUUGUUUUUAUGUAUUGUCUAGAGAAGGAACCUGCAGAGAGCAAAAGCGAAAUGACUGAUGUGACACUCAUAAAAUAAGUUUUGUUGAGAUUGUUAUUUUUUUGUUUCCUUUCCUUUUAUUGCAAUAGUAUUUUAUUUUAUUCGGAUUUAUAUAAUUGAAUACUAAUGAGAGAUCACAGAGAAGCGCGUAAUGACAUGUAUUUCAUAAAAUGGACACAGGGGGGCAGUAACCGCGAGCAGCGUCACACUGGAAUAUUUAGCGAUACGCAGAGCAAGAUUAGCUCAUAAUCCGAGUGAAUGGAGAAUGAGCAAUUGUUGUCCUGCGUCACUGAUUUCUCUGUAAUAUUUGUAAUAUUUCCAGGUUAGUUACACACCUUUUAUGUGACUACAGAUGUUUAUAAGUUAAUAUGAAUCCCCGGUGAUGCGUGCUCUAUAAGCUAAAAGUAUGUCAAAUGUGUAAACAGUUAGGUUUGACGAUACGCAAUUGAGAAAAUGGCGGCCAACGUCCGCAGAUUGUUUAUUUUAUUUGUUCCCUAUGGCUCCGGGGCAUUUGUGGAUUAUUUCAGUGUGUGAAAAACAGCUAUGUGUGUAGUACAAUGUUAAAAGAGUAAAAAGUUAAUGUGAAUGUACAGCGUAACCCCAGUUACGGCUGCGGCCUUGUUCAAGGGCGCGCGCACGUUAAUACAAUGAUACAGAUUCAGUUCAUUGAACUGAGCGCCAAGUUAUGAGGCAGAUAUGUUUAUUAUUGAAGUUUGUGUUCUUAUAGUGUAAAUGUAAUACAGCUUAACUGCAAAUGAGAAUUAUUCUGUUGUAUAAAGUGAACACUUAUAAAAUGUACAGUGAUUACAAAAAUAAUAAUAAUUUUGAUAAGAGGACAAAGAUGAUAGAUGUUUAAAGGAAGAAGUGCAGACAUGAUUGAGGAUAGACCAAAAAUGGGAUUUAAAGGAAACAUGUUGUUUUUGGUUUCAUAUAAACUUUAAUAAGUUAAUGUUUGGAAAUAUGUGAGGAUACAUAUAUGUGAAAACAGACCUUUGAAGAAUAUAUGGCUUCAUGUGAUCCAAAUGUGGAUAUAACCUGUGUUUCAAUGCAAAACAGACAAAAAUAACAGAAAAUAAUUAAUGAUUGCAGAUACAAAGUUAAAAUGAAGUUAAAAAUAAAAUAAUCCGAGUGAAUGGAGAAUGAGCAA